rnacentral:rRNA from 1 species
CAGUAGCCGCGGUAAUACGUAGGGUGCGAGCGUUAAUCGGAAUUACUGGGCGUAAAGCGUGCGCAGGCGGUUGUGUAAGACAGGUGUGAAAUCCCCGGGCUUAACCUGGGAACUGCGCUUGUGACUGCACAGCUAGAGUAUGGCAGAGGGGGGUGGAAUUCCACGUGUAGCAGCGAAAUGCGUAGAGAUGUGGAGGAACACCGAUGGCGAAGGCAGCCCCCUGGGCCAAUACUGACGCUCAUGCACGAAAGCGUGGGGAGCAAACAGGAUUAGAUACCCGCGUAGUCCCUGUCUCUUAUAC